rnacentral:rRNA from 1 species
CAAGCGGUGGAGCAUGUGGUUUAAUUCGAUGCAACGCGAAGAACCUUACCUGGUCUUGACAUCCACGGAACUUUGCAGAGAUGAGAAGGUGCCUUCGGGAACCGUGAGACAGGUGCUGCAUGGCUGUCGUCAGCUCGUGUUGUGAAAUGUUGGGUUAAGUCCCGCAACGAGCGCAACCCUUAUCCUUUGUUGCCAGCGGUCCGGCCGGGAACUCAAAGGAGACUGCCAGUGAUAAACUGGAGGAAGGUGGGGAUGACGUCAAGUCAUCAUGGCCCUUACGACCAGGGCUACACACGUGCUACAAUGGCGCAUACAAAGAGAAGCGACCUCGCGAGAGCAAGCGGACCUCAUAAAGUGCGUCGUAGUCCGGAUUGGAGUCUGCAACUCGACUCCAUGAAGUCGGAAUCGCUAGUAAUCGUGGAUCAGAAUGCCACGGUGAAUACGUUCCCGGGCCUUGUACACACC